UACACCUUCCACCCAUAUUUCUUUUCAUUUCCAUUGCCUGUCUCCACCAAAUUCUCUCCAUCCCCUCUCACCCUCACCACCUCUCUCUCUCUGUGCUGAUAUAUAUGUAUAUAUAUGUAUCUAUGUGUAUGAUUUUUCGGGCGUUCCUUGUCAAAUAUGAAAACAAAGCUAGUUCCUUAAACGAUGCUAAACGUGCUUCAAAUAUUCAAAUUUCAUUCCCUGAAUUUCAUAUCAUUUUCGAUAUCAAAUCCCAGAUAUAAUUCUUCAUAAUUAUUUCUUCCAGCCAUCAACUUUUUCUUUUUUUCUUUUGCAGUAUUUUUUUUUUUUUUUU
rnacentral:lncRNA from 1 species